GAUGAACGCUGGCGGCGUGCCUAAUACAUGCAAGUCGAGCGGCAGCACAGUCUUCGGACUGGUGGCGAGCGGCGGACGGCUGAGUAACGCGUAGGAAUAUACCCCAAAGUGAGGGAUAACUGCCCGAAAGGGUGGCUAAUACCGCAUGUGGUCUUCGGACUAAAGCCUUCGGGCGCUUUGGGAAUAGCCUGCGUAAGAUUAGCUAGUUGGUGAGGUAAUGGCUCACCAAGGCGACGAUCUUUAGCUGGUCUGAGAGGAUGACCAGCCAGACUGGAACUGAGACACGGUCCAGACUCCUACGGGAGGCAGCAGUAGGGAAUUUUCCACAAUGGGCGAAAGCCUGAUGGAGCAACGCCGCGUGCAGGAUGAAGGCCCUCGGGUCGUAAACUGCUUUUAUGUGCGAAGAAUAUGACGGUAACACAUGAAUAAGGGUCGGCGUAACUACGUGCCAGCAGCCG
rnacentral:rRNA from 1 species